UUUUGUGGGUUGAGAGGUAAAAGAGUUUAGAUAAGCUAGGUAAACCCUACUGCGUUAAGACUAGUCCAAAAACACUUAUCAACUCUCUUAUCUUUCACACAACGCACACAAUCAGCAUCUCCUCUAUCUAACCACAUUUUUUCUCUCUACUUAAUCUCUCCAUGCUUGUUCUUCUUCGUUCUUUUGAAUCAAACAAGAAACGAGAAGAGAAUGCAAAUCAUUAAUCUAACAGCGUGUGUUCCAUUCUCCCUUUUCACUUCUUGUCUUGCCAACACGAGAAGGAGGUGAUCCCCGGUGAUUAGAGUGGACAUUUUUGGAGGAUUUCAAAAUUGAAAUCUGGACAAGAAUGGAUCCGAUUGCAGAGGAGUCAACGCUAGAAGCAUAUCGAAGAAAAACGACAAGAAAAAAAAAGACGUAGCUGAACUACCAGCCGACACAAACCGACUUGCACGCCGUCAAGCAUACAUGCGGGUGAAAGCCUGUGCAUGCUUAGCCUACCAGUGCACGCGGCAUGGGACUACAUGCCGGGCCCAUGUGCAGCAGACAAUGGUGUCUAUGCGCAAGCACGCCUGGCAACGUGGGCGGUCGAUUGGACCAGUUUUUCUGGUGGUUUUUGCAAUGGGUUAGGAUGAGGUCCGUCGGGGUUUGAGACGAGGUCAUAGCAGAGUGAGUAGGGUGUCUUGGUUUGGUAUGGGUAAGUGGAAGCGAGGUAUGGUGGCAGAUGAGUGACCAUUAAAGAGGGCAUUAGUAGAUGAAUUAGAUUUGCAAGAAGCAUCAAAUAAUAUUCUGAUGCCAGAGGCUAUGUCACAUCCCCGCCAGUCGCCAUGAGUGUGAUAAGUUGGAAUUGCCGAGGCUUGGGGGUGCUUCAACAGUUUGUAAACUCGAAGAUUGGGACCGAGAAUUUCGUUGGCUCUUGUUGUUUGUUUAUGAAGCAAAAUGUAGAAAUUAUAGACCCGAUCGGGUACCUUAGAGAUUGAAUAUGUUUUGAAGGGUGCCAUCAGUAGGCAGAUAUGGUUCAACUGAGAUCCUUUUCUGUAAAUUAUACAGAUGUUAAUGUAUUGGCGGCUCCACAUUCAACAAAUUGGAGGUAUAAAGGAUUCUAUGGAGAGCCUGAUGUGACACAAGGGAAAGUUAUGUGGGAAUGACUACAACAGUUAAGUUCUCAAUUUGAUGCUCCAUGGCUUUGUGUCGGGGACUUUGAUGAAAUUUGUCUUGUCAUGAAAAAAUGGGGGUAGCAUGUCCUCAGUGGUAGAUUGAUGAUUUUCAGAACUCUGGACAAGUGUAAUUUGUGUGAUUUAGGCUUUCAUGGUCAAAGGUGUACGUGGUGUAAUCGGUCACAAGGAAUGGAGACAGUCUGGGCAAGGUUGGACAGAGCGUGUGCCAACCCGAACUGGAAUUGUUCGUGUUUGAAUACUACCAUUACUCACUUCGUAACAUCAUAUUAUGAUCAAUCGAUGUAAGUAAUCAAGUAAGAUUUGGGAGAAAAUAAUCAAGGCCGUCGAAGGAAGGUACAGUUUUGGUUUGAGGCUAAAUGGACACAGUCAGAAGAAUGUGUAAAGGAUGUGGAGGAAGCAUAGGUUGAUCAAGUUGGGAUGAUCCUGGCAGUAGGCUAUUUCAAAAAAUUUAGGUGUAUCGUUUGAAGCUUCUUCAUAGAGACUGUUUUGUGAAGCCCCUACAGGAUCUUAUACGAUUAGAGGAGCGGUACCGAUUGGGAUAGAGGAGCACAGGGAGGAUAUUCGAAAAAGAAUUGAGACCAUCAGGUAAGAGACAUACUGAAAUGGCAACGAUAGAGCAAGAAUCAUUGGUUGGUCAAUGGAGACAGUAUGCGACAUUUUUUUCAUACUUAUACAUCUACUUGCCAUGGGCAUAGUACGAUUGUUCAUCUAGAAAAUGAGGCAGGGGUAUGGAAGGAGAAUAAAGAUGACAUACAGGGGAUUCUACUGAGGUAUUUUAGAGGAAUUUUUUAUUCUUCUUGACCAUCAAAUUUUGUCAUAAUUGAGGUGCUAUCGACUAUUUAAUAACAGGUAACCUUGGAAAUGAAUUGGGCCCUUGUUGCACAAUUCACUGAUGCGGAAAUCAAGAGUGUUGUUUUUGGUAUGUUCCCACUUAAGUCUCCUGGCUCCGAUGGUAUAUCUUCUCUAUUUUUUUCAACAAAAGUGGUUUAUUCGUUGUGAUGUUAUAUCUAUUGUCCUUCGUAUUUUAAAUGAGCAUAUCCUGUUGCAUAAAUUCAAUUAUACCUAUGUAGUUCAUGUCCCCAAAUGUGAUAUCCCUGAAACUAUUUCCCAUCUUUGUCAAAUAAGCUUAUGUAAUGCCAUUGUCAGAAUAGCAUCAAAGUGUGUAGCUAAUAAUCUCAAUCUUAUGCUUGAUUCUAUCGUAUCCAAGUCUCAGUCUGCUUUCAUUCCUGGUCGUUUGAUCACUGACGACAUAUUAUCAGCUUUCAAGCUCAAUCAUCAUCUUAAAACAUUGUCAGGACGCACAUGACGUUAAAGUUAGAUAUAAGCAAAGUGUGUAGGGUGGAGUGCCCAUUUCUCGAGGUGUAUUGCUUAAAUUAGGGUUCAAUCAUAGGUUAGUCAAUCUUAUUAUGUUGUUAUUCACUAUUGUGUCUUACUAACUUUGAAUGGUGAAGUUUUUAGAUUUUUCAUUCGGAGUUAGGGGGAUCCUCUUCCUCCCUAUCUUAUUAUAUUUUGAACUGAGGCUUUUUCAAGUUUAAUCCAGGCAUUUGAAAGAGGGGGCCAAGUAGCUCCACAAGCACCACCGAUUUCCCAUAUUCUAUUUGCUGAUGACACGGUGAUGUUUUGUAAGGCUAUGGGGAUCAUAUGAGGUAGAUUAGGAGGAUUUGGAGGUCUAUGCACUGGCAUCCGGACAUGU